UACGAAGGGGGCUAGCGUUGUUCGGAAUUACUGGGCGUAAAGCGCACGUAGGCGGACAUUUAAGUCAGGGGUGAAAUCCCAGAGCUCAACUCUGGAACUGCCUUUGAUACUGGGUGUCUUGAGUAUGGAAGAGGUGAGUGGAAUUCCUAGUGUAGAGGUGAAAUUCGUAGAUAUUAGGAAGAACACCAGUGGCGAAGGCGGCUCACUGGCCCGGUACUGACGCUGAGGCGCGAAAGCGUGGGGAGCAAACAGG
rnacentral:rRNA from 1 species